rnacentral:lncRNA from 1 species
GAAGGGGGAGAUAAAGGAAUCAUAGAAUCAUAGCAAUAUAAAGGCUGGAAGAGACGUUCAAUAUGAUGUAGUCCCUGACUCUUUCUGAUAAGAAAUCCCUUCUAAUUUCCUAGGAGGAGGAUUAGGAGCUGGUGGAGGAGGAGAAGAUGGUGGAGGAGGAGGAGGUUGUGCAGGAGUAGGAGGUGGUGGAGGAGGAGGAGAAGGAGGAGGCGGUGGAGUAGGAGGUGCAGGAAGAGGUGGUAGAGGACGAGGAGGAGGCAGUGGAGGAGGAGGUGGAAGAGGCGGUGGAGGAGGAGGAGGCGGUUGAGGAGGACCAGGCCGUGAAGGAGGAGGAGGUGGAGGAGGCAGUGGCGGUGGAGGAGGAUGAGGUGGAGGAGGAUGAGGUGGAGGAGGCGGUGGCGGUGGAGGAGGCUCUGGUGGUGGAGGAGGCGGUGGAGGAGGUGGAGGAGGCGGUGGACGGGGAGAAAGAGCCGGUGGAAGAGGAGGAAAAGGCAGUCUACAAGUUAGAUUAGGCGGUGGUGGAGGAAUCAUAGGAUCAUUAGUGUUGGAGGAGACCUUCAAGUUUGUGCCACAAGUGAAGCCUCAGAAAUCCUCAAAUCCCUCCGCUGCCCCUCAGGGCAUUGCCUCAGAAAUCCUCAAAUCCCUCCGCUGCCCCUCAGGGCAUUGCCUCAGUGCAGCUUCAGUCUUGGGGACAGCAUUUGUAAUUGAGGCAGAAGUCAUAUUUUUGUCAUGUGCUGCACAAUCAAGGGACGACAUUUGGAGCAUGUUUUUAUGAAGAAUCCAUAUUGUCAAACAAGCCUAACAUUGGCACUGCGCGGGUAUUGCAGAUUUUAAACAAUGAUAAAUGUUUUGAUUUAUGAUGAUGAAAUUUGAUUUACAAGUUGUCAUUUUACACAAUAGUACAAUAAAUGUAUUAAUACAGGCUAAAUGAUAAAAUUA